rnacentral:rRNA from 1 species
AGUGAACGCUGGCGGUAGGCCUAACACAUGCAAGUCGAACGGCAGCACAGUAAGAGCUUGCUCUUACGGGUGGCGAGUGGCGGACGGGUGAGGAAUACAUCGGAAUCUACUUUUUCGUGGGGGAUAACGUAGGGAAACUUACGCUAAUACCGCAUACGACCUACGGGUGAAAGCAGGGGAUCUUCGGACCUUGCGCGAUUGAAUGAGCCGAUGUCGGAUUAGCUAGUUGGCGGGGUAAAGGCCCACCAAGGCGACGAUCCGUAGCUGGUCUGAGAGGAUAAUCAGCCACACGGGAACUGAGACACGGUCCAGACUCCUACGGGAGGCAGCAGUGGGGAAUAUUGGACAAGGGGCGCAAGCCUGAUCCAGCCAUACCGCGUGGGUGAAGAAGGCCUUCGGGUUGUAAAGCCCUUUUGUGGGGAAAGAAAAGCAGCAGGUUAAUACCCCGCUGUUCUGAGGGUACCCAAAGAAUAAGCACCGGCUAACUUCGUG